UACGUAGGUGGCAAGCGUUGUUCGGAAUUAUUGGGCGUAAAGGGCGCGUAGGCGGUUUGUUAAGUCGGUUGUGAAAGCCCGGGGCUCAACCCCGGAGAGUCGUCCGAUACUGGCAGACUAGAGUACAGAAGAGGUAGCUGGAAUUCCUGGUGUAGCGGUGAAAUGCGUAGAUAUCAGGAGGAACACCGAUGGCGAAGGCAGGUCUCUGGGCCACUACUGACGCUGAGAAGCGAAAGCAUGGGGAGCGAACAGG
rnacentral:rRNA from 1 species